GAAAUGCGUUAAGUAAUGUGAAUUGCAGAAUUCAGUGAAUCAUCGAAUCUUUGAACGCACCUUGCGCUCCUUGGUAUUCCUUGGAGCAUGCCUGUUUGAGUAUCAUGAAAUCUUCAAAGUAAAUCUUUUGUUAACUCAAUUGGUUUCUACUUUGGUAUUGGAGGUCUUUGCAGCUUCACACCUGCUCCUCUUUGUUCAUUAGCUGGAUCUCAGUGUUAUGCUUGGUUCCACUCGGCGUGAUAAGUUAUCUAUCGCUGAGGACACUGUAAAAGGUGGCCAAGGUAAAUGCAGAUGAACCGCUUCUAAUAGUCCAUUGACUUGGACAAUACUUUUAUGAUCUGAUCUCAAAUCAGGUAGGACUACCCGCUGAACUUAAGC
rnacentral:misc_RNA from 1 species